GUUGGGUUAAGUCCCGUAACGAAGCGAAACCCUUGUCGCUAGUUGCCAGCGAGUAAUGUCGGGGACUCUAGCGAGACUGCCGGUGUUAAACCGGAGGAAGGUGGGGAUGACGUCAAGUCCUCAUGGCCUUUAUGCCCAGGGCCGCAAACGUGCUACAAUGACCGGUACAAACCGACGCAAAGCCGCGAGGUCGAGCAAAUCGGAAAAAGCCGGCCCCAGUUCGGAUUGGAGUCUGCAACUCGACUCCAUGAAGUUGGAAUCGCUAGUAAUCGCAGAUCAGCUAUGCUGCGGUGAAUGUGUUCCUGAGCCUU
rnacentral:rRNA from 1 species